rnacentral:tRNA from 1 species
GAGAACGUAGCUUACUGGUAGCGCAUCCCUGGGUUCAACCCUCAAUACCACCAAACACAUUAACUGUAAAGGAGAAAAAUGUAUUAACUAGACUCUUAUAACUAAAAUUUGUGUUAAUCAAGAGACACUGUCAGGGCUGUACCUCUGGUGGAUGAGGUCCUGGGUUAGAUCCCCAGCUUUGCCA